rnacentral:rRNA from 1 species
CGCGUAGGCGGACAGUUAAGUCAGAGGUGAAAGCCCAGGGCUCAACCUUGGAACUGCCUUUGAUACUGGCUGUCUAGAGUGCGGGAGAGGUGUGUGGAACUCCGAGUGUAGAGGUGAAAUUCGUAGAUAUUCGGAAGAACACCAGUGGCGAAGGCGACACACUGGCCCGUAACUGACGCUGAGGCGCGAAAGCGUGGGGAGCAAACAGGAUUAGAUACCCUGGUAGUCCACGCCGUAAACGAUGAGUGCUAGUUGUCGGCAUGCAUGCAUGUCGGUGACGCAGCUAACGCAUUAAGCACUCCGCCUGGGGAGUACGGUCGCAAGAUUAAA